rnacentral:rRNA from 1 species
UACGUAGGUGGCAAGCGUUAUCCGGAAUACUGGGCGUAAAGCGCACGCAGGCGGUCUUUUAAGUUUGACGUGAAAGCUCCCGGGCUUAACUGGAGAGGUCGUUGAAGACUGGAAGACUUGAGGCAAUGAGAGGGGUGUAGAAUUCCCGGUGUAGUGGUGGAAUGCGUAGAUAUCGGGGGGAAUACCAGUGGCGAAAGCGGCACCCUAGCGUUAGCCUGACGCUCAUGUGCGAAAGCGUGGGGAGCGAACGGG